GUGAGGAAUUUUCCGCAAUGGGCGAAAGCCUGACGGAGCAAUGCCGCGUGAAGGAUGAAGGCCUAUGGGUUGUAAACUUCUUUUCUCAGAAAAGAAUUAUGACGGUAUCUGAGGAAUAAGCAUCGGCUAACUCUGUGCCAGCAGCCGCGGUAAGACAGAGGAUGCAAGCGUUAUCCGGAAUGAUUGGGCGUAAAGCGUCUGUAGGUUGUUUAAAAAGUAUUCUGUCAAAGAUUAGGGCUUAACCCUAGAUAGGCAGAAUAAACUUUUAAGCUAGAGUUUGGUAGAGGCAGAGGGAAUUCCCGGUGGAGCGGUGAAAUGCGUAGAUAUCGGGAGGAACACCAAAGGCGAAGGCACUCUGCUGGGCCAAUACUAACACUGAGAGACGAAAGCGAGGGGAGCAAAUGGGAUUAGAAACCCGUGUAGUCCU
rnacentral:rRNA from 1 species